ensembl:lncRNA
AGAGCCAGAGACGCUGCUCCCGCGGGAGGCCGCCCGCUACCUGGGGCGCCCGCCAGCGCCUCCUUCCCGGAUCCCAGCCGCCCCUGAUCCCGGGUUCCUCCAGGCCCGCAGCACCGUCCAGCCACCUCACUUGCCCUUCCCGCUUCGAGGCCAGCCGCUGGCCCGGCUACCUUCUCGGACAUCCUGGGGCGCCCCCCGCCCCAACCUCCUUGCAGCCUGGCCCAUCUCUGAGUCCCACCCGAGGUUGGGUACCAAGGCCUCCAGCUUCCGGGCCCCGUGACACCACCUCAGGGGUGCAGGCUGCUUCCACCUGCUGAGGCGCUGGGCCCAGCGAGCCCCCUCAGAAAGGCUGCGGUGGCGGUGCGGGGGUCUGUCUCCAGGCGUGCUGAGGGGCUUUGCCGAGACCCUGUCUCCUGCCCUUGGGCCCUCCACAUCCCUCAGGGAGACAGCCUUGGUCUGUUAGUGUCCUGGUUGUCAGAGUGACAGCGCUCGCUGACUCUCCUGAACAAGCCGAGGGAAGCCUGACUGGCCGGUGGACAAGGCCGCACUUUUUCACCCAAGUGGACGGUGGGAGGGACUCCUGCGGCCCCUCCGCGUGCCCGACCUGCAGGAGACUGUGGCACUAUAGGCACAAAUCUGACCAGGCCCUCCCCACAUGUCCUCUCCUGUGGUUUCCUCGCACCGAAGAUCCACCUAACAUUCGUGGAGCUGGCCCAUGGGCCACGACCCGGGGUGCCUCUUCCUUGCCUACCACCUUCUGGUCCUGCAGGGUUCAGCUCAGCUGCUCUCUGGUCCAGGAAGCUGGAGAGGAGGCUGAGAGGGGCCUUGACCCAAGCGCAUACCCACACAGCCUUCCACGUCCAACCGAGUUUUCCGCCUUUGUCCUGGUGCCUGAAGCUGCCGGUACCGAAGACAUGAUGCCAAGGGACCCAGGGCGCUUUCCCUCUGCCUCUGAUCCCACACUGCAUUGGUGUCCCAUCUUCUUUGGUUCCUCUGGGCUGUGACCGUCCUCGUUUUUGGUGUCUUGGAGGAGGUCCUGGAGGACUCCUUGGAGUUUUUCUGGUUUUCAUAUCUCGAGAUAACAGGGUGAUGGUUAUUGAAAGGAAGCCCGUGGAAGUAAAGUGUCGUUCUCAUCACACCCCAGCAGGACGUCGUGCUUUCCACAUGACUCCCACUGUCAGUGUUGACCUCGGUCACCUGGUCGUGGUAGUUCAACGGAUGUCCCCGUUUUCAUCCUGUCCUCUUGGGAAUGAAGUCACUGUGCACGGCCCACCCUUGAUGAGUGGUGGUUAUGCUCCCGAGAUAGGAAGAAAGGGGCCAAGGCACAAUCCUUAAAGAAUGACACACCCAUUGAGAAAAGCAGGAUAUGACAGAAACUGGUUAAAACUGAUUAUGUCCAAGAUGGCAGAAGAUUCUACUUUCAGUAGACCUUGAGCCCCAAUGUACUGCAUUAACAU